UACGGAGGGUGCAAGCGUUAUCCGGAUUCACUGGGUUUAAAGGGUGCGUAGGUGGGAUGGUAAGUCAGUGGUGAAAUCUCCGGGCUUAACUCGGAAACUGCCGUUGAUACUAUCAUUCUUGAAUAUUGUGGAGGUAAGCGGAAUAUGUCAUGUAGCGGUGAAAUGCUUAGAUAUGACAUAGAACACCAAUAGCGAAGGCAGCUUGCUACACAAUUAUUGACACUGAGGCUCGAAAGCGUGGGGAUCAAACAGG
rnacentral:rRNA from 1 species